rnacentral:rRNA from 1 species
GUUUGAUCCUGGCUCAGAUUGAACGCUGGCGGCAGGCUUAACACAUGCAAGUCGAACGAUGACUAACUAGCUUGCUAGUUAUGAUUAGUGGCGGACGGGUGAGUAACAUUUAGGAAUCUGCCUAGUAGUGGGGGAUAGCUCGGGGAAACUCGAAUUAAUACCGCAUACGACCUACGGGUGAAAGGGGGCGCAAGCUCUUGCUAUUAGAUGAGCCUAAAUCAGAUUAGCUAGUUGGUGGGGUAAAGGCCCACCAAGGCGACGAUCUGUAACUGGUCUGAGAGGAUGAUCAGUCACACCGGAACUGAGACACGGUCCGGACUCCUACGGGAGGCAGCAGUGGGGAAUAUUGGACAAUGGGGGCAACCCUGAUCCAGCCAUGCCGCGUGUGUGAAGAAGGCCUUUUGGUUGUAAAGCACUUUAAGCAGGGAGGAGAGGCUAAUGGUUAAUACCCAUUAGAUUAGACGUUACCUGCAGAAUAAGCACCGGCUAACUCUGUGCCAGCAGCCGCGGUAAUACAGAGGGUGCGAGCGUUAAUCGGAAUUACUGGGCGUAAAGCGAGUGUAGGUGGCUCAUUAAGUCACAUGUGAAAUCCCCGGGCUUAACCUGGGAACUGCAUGUGAUACUGGUGGUGCUAGAAUAUGUGAGAGGGAAGUAGAAUUCCAGGUGUAGCGGUGAAAUGCGUAGAGAUCUGGAGGAAUACCGAUGGCGAACGCAGCUUCCUGGCAUAAUAUUGACACUGAGAUUCGAAAGCGUGGGUAGCAAACAGGAUUAGAUACCCUGGUAGUCCACGCCGUAAACGAUGUCUACUAGCCGUUGGGGUCCUUGAGACUUUAGUGGCGCAGUUAACGCGAUAAGUAGACCGCCUGGGGGAGUACCGGCCGCAAGGUUAAAACUCAAAGGAAUUGACGG